CCGUCAGCAUCGCGUGCAGCAGGCAAGGAGCUGCUUUGUUAGUUCAGUUGUUGCAGUACGCCUGUUUGACAUGAUCUGAAGCUAGCACAGCUGCUGGGCCUGCCGUCUGUGUCCUGUGCUAGCUUCCCUCCGGUGAGACAAGGAUCAGCAUCCAGCCCCAGUCUGUUUCUCUGGUCCUGCGCUUCAGCCGCACAGGCUCUCUUUCUUUUCGCAUCUGCUUCUUCACGGAUAGGAUCGCGAAGUGGUGUGGUGAGAUACGAC